UCCUCCCUCCUUCACGCCCCAAACUUCCUCUCUCUAUCUCUCUAAUUCUCUUCGCCCAAAACGGGCAGUUCCAGGAUCUCCGUCGCCGUCUCCAAUUCCGCCAGAGCCGUCGGCCAUCUUCAGCGUCCAGCCACCGCCGCCAAUCCGCCGGAUGAGCUGCUGCUGUCUUGCCGGGAGGACGGUGCUGUCGCCGCUGCACAGAGUCGUCGCUGCAGUUCACCGCUGCUCCGUCUGCACAGAGCCGUCGGCUGCUGUUCGCCGCUGCUCCGUCGGUGGUCGUGCAGCCCCGAAACAUCACUACAACCCCCGAUUUGUCCAAAAACCAACCCGAACAGCCCCGAAACCAAUUCGAUUUCAACCGAACAGAUCGGUUCUCAUUCAAAAAGCCUACCCAGCCGACGAGUUGAUCAACUGGAGUUUACCACAUGAAGUGAUGAGUCAGAGGAGAGAGAAGAAAAUAUGCCAUCUCAAGGGCAUAAAUGUCAAGAUAUGAUGGGCUUACCCUAGGGAUUUGGGCCCAACAUCAUCCUAUAAAUAUGGAGAGAGUGCACAUAAGAAGAGAGUUCAACACCAUCAUCACCUUUGGUCACCUCAUUUUCACCUCACAGCAUGGAGUAAGGAGUUAGCAGCAGAAGUCGCUGGUUCCACCUCUGUUUUCAUCUCUUCUUCCUCGUCAAGGAAGGAGGGACCUGGAUCUGCGUAGAAGUCUUCGUCGUUGGAGUUUUUGUUGCACCCCGAGGGGUUAAAACAAUUUCUAUUAUGUUUUUAGUUCAUCCUUUCUGUAGCUUAGUUGUUUAUAAUGUUUUUCGUGUAGUUGCUACUCUAGUUACCUUUCCGUUGUUGAUCACUCUUUAAAUUUUCGUUGGAAAUUCUGUUUUAGUUACGUUUGUUGAAGAUCUUUUAUGAAAUGGAGUUUUUGAUUCAAGUU